rnacentral:rRNA from 1 species
UAAUCUUAGUGGCGGACGGGUGAGUAACGCGUGGGUAACCUGCCUUACACUGGGGGAUAACACUUAGAAAUAGGUGCUAAUACCGCAUAAGCGCACGAAGCCGCAUGGAUUUGUGUGAAAAACUCCGGUGGUGUAAGAUGGACCCGCGUCUGAUUAGCUUGUUGGCGGGGUAACGGCCCACCAAGGCGACGAUCAGUAGCCGGCCUGAGAGGGUAGACGGCCACAUUGGGACUGAGACACGGCCCAAACUCCUACGGGAGGCAGCAG